rnacentral:rRNA from 1 species
AAUAGAUACCCCGGUAGUCCAUGCCGUAAACGAUGUCUACUAGCCGUUGGGGCCUUUGAGGCUUUAGUGGCGCAGCUAACGCGAUAAGUAGACCGCCUGGGGAGUACGGUCGCAAGACUAAAACUCAAAUGAAUUGACGGGGGCCCGCACAAGCGGUGGAGCAUGUGGUUUAAUUCGAUGCAACGCGAAGAACCUUACCUGGUCUUGACAUAGUAAGAACUUUCCAGAGAUGGAUUGGUGCCUUCGGGAACUUACAUACAGGUGCUGUAUGGCUGUCGUCAGCUCGUGUCGUGAGAUGUUGGGUUAAGUCCCGCAACGAGCGCAACCCUUUUCCUUAUUUGCCAGCGGGUUAAGCCGGGAACUUUAAGGAUACUGCCAGUGACAAACUGGAGGAAGGCGGGGACGACGUCAAGUCAUCAUGGCCCUUAGACCAGGGCUACAUACGUGCUACAAUGGUCGGUACAAAGGGUUGCUACCUAGCGAUAGGAUGCUAAUCUCAAAAAGCCGAUCGUAGUCCGGAUUGGAGUCUGCAACUCGACUCC